rnacentral:rRNA from 1 species
UACGGAGGGUGCAAACGUUGCUCGGAAUCAUUGGGCGUAAAGCGCACGUAGGCGGUCUGUUAAGUCGGGUGUGAAAGCCCUGGGCUCAACCCAGGAAGUGCACUCGAAACUGGCAGACUUGAAUAUGGAAGAGGGUUGCGGAAUUCCCGGUGUAGAGGUGAGAUUCGUAGAUAUCGGGAGGAACACCGGUGGCGAAGGCGGCAACCUGGGCCAAUAUUGACGCUGAGGUGCGAAAGCGUGGGGAGCAAACAG